CAUAUUUUUAAGUCUGGCUGUGCCUGCUCAAAAUUUUAGUUUUUCUUUUUUUUUUUUUUACUUUUUCAGAUGCUAAUUAUGGAAGGCUUCUUCGGGCCAACAAAGAGAGCUGCACUGAAUUUAUUGAGACCCUUUAGAUCAGCUUAUCCACAGAGCCUUAAGCAUUACAGCAAUAAAACGUAUAAAUCGAUGGGCAGAGGUGAUAAUUAUUCGAACUCCUUGAAAAUACUACAUUCGCAAGUGAGUUUAAUAAGAAAUAGAAAAUUAUAUGAACGCAAAAUGCUUGACUAUAAAAUAACAUUAUUGGAAGAUGAAAUUAGAUACGUCCUAGCAAAGUUGAACAGUGCCAAAUUUAAUGAAAAAUAGUCUGCACGAAGAAGCCAACCAUAUGGAAGAUAAAUUCAAUUCAAAAAUAAUGACUCCCUACAUCGUUUCUUAAAUUAAAAAACCGUUGUAAUUUUUAUCUUAAUAUAUGGUGCACAACUCUAAUAAUA